rnacentral:lncRNA from 1 species
GAGGUUUUGAAAUUUUUAUUUUUCUCAGAACUAAGUCUCCUGGUCAAAAAACUUUCGGCUUGACUUUGGUGUUAUAGUACCGAGCUAUCUUCUGCUGGUACAUGGCCAUGUGAAGUUGAGCUUCGUGUCGGAGUUUUGGUAGGAGAUCUAAGUCGGCUCUCCGAUACUCAGAGUUGUCCGGUUCAUUGUAUUGCUUAACUCUUGUCGAUGGUAAUCCGAUCUUGAGUGGGAUCAUCGCCUCCGUCCCGUAGGCUAAG